UUACGGCCAUAUCACGUUGAAACACUAGUUCCCGUACUAUCAACGAAGUUAAGCAACGUCGAACCUGGUCAGUACCUAGAUGGGUGACCACUUGGAAUUUUUGGA